GAAAGCAGGAGAGGUGAUCACAAUCAAGAUUUAUCGCGUUUCGCAAUAAAUGCUUGAUUGAGGAAAGUCCGGGCUCCCUGAUGGUCAAGCUUGCUGGGUAACUCCCAGUGCGGGUGACCGUGAGGAUAGUGCCACAGAAACACACCGCCGAUGGCUUAGUCCCACUCAGCACAGGCAAGGGUGCAAAGGUGCGGUAAGAGCGCACCAGCAGCAUCGAGAGGUGCUGGCUUGGUAAACCCCGGCUAGGAGCAAGGCAAAGGAGCAUUAAUGGCCAUCUAUGAUGCUCCUGAAAAAAGCCGCUUGAGGUUGUCGGUAACGGCAGUCCCAGAUAGAUGAUUACCCACUAACCUUUUUAGGUAGUGAACAGAACCCGGCUUAUGACCUGCUUUCACCC
rnacentral:RNase_P_RNA from 21 species